rnacentral:rRNA from 1 species
AAUAGAUACCCAGGUAGUCCACGCCGUAAAACGAUGGAUACUAGCUGUUGGAGGUAUCGACCCCUUCAGUAGCGAAGCCAACGCGUUAAGUAUCCCGCCUGUGGAGUACGGUCGCAAGACUAAAACAUAAAGGAAUUGACGGGGACCCGCACAAGCGGUGGAUCAUGUUCUUUAAUUCGAUGCUAAACGAAGAACCUUACCAGGGCUUGACAUCCCGAGAAUUUCUCCGAAAGGAGAGAGUGCUUUUAGAACUCGGUGACAGAUGUUGCAUGGCCGUCGUCAGCUCGUGUCGUGAGAUGUUUGGUUAAGUCCAUCAACGAGCGCAACCCUUGUGAAUAGUUGUAUUUUUCUAUUCAGACUGCCCCGGCAACGGGGAGGAAGGAGGGGAUGAUGUCAGGUCAGUAUUACUCUUACGUCCUGGGCUAGAAACGUGAUACAAUGGCAGGUACAAUGCGCAGCGAAGCCGCGAGGUGAAGCAAAUCGCACCGAAAGCCUGUCCCAGUUCGGAUUGGAGGCUGAACUGCCUCA